rnacentral:tRNA from 1 species
ACAGUGGUGGUUCAGUGGUAGAAUUCUUAUCUUCCACGUGGGAGACGUGGGUUCAAUUCCCCACCAAUGCA